UGGGGAAUCUUGCACAAUGGGCGAAAGCCUGACGCAGCAACACCGCGUGAGGGAUGACGGCCUUCGGGUUGUAAACCUCUUUCAGCUCCGACGAAGCGAAAGUGACGGUAGGAGCAGAAGAAGCACCGGCUAACUACGUGCCAGCAGCCGCGGUAAUACGUAGGGUGCAAGCGUUGUCCGGAAUUAUUGGGCGUAAAGAGCUCGUAGGCGGUCCGUUGCGUCUGCCGUGAAAACCCGGAGCUCAACUCCGGGCCUGCGGUGGAUACGGGCGGACUAGAGUCCGGUAGGGGAGACUGGAAUUCCUGGUGGUAGCGGUGGAAUGCGCAGAUAUCAGGAGGAACACCGGUGGCGAAGGCGGGUCUCUGGGCCGGAACUGACGCUGAGGAGCGAAAGCGU
rnacentral:rRNA from 1 species